rnacentral:rRNA from 1 species
UACAGAGGCCUCGAGCGUUAGGCGGAAUCACUGGGCUUAAAGCGUGUGUAGGCGGACUUCUAAGUACCUUGUGAAAUCCCACAGCUUAACUGUGGAACUGCUUGGUAUACUGGUUGUCUUGAGGUACCUAGGGGCGAGCGGAACAAGUGGUGGAGCGGUGAAAUGCGUAGAUAUCACUUGGAACGCCAACGGUGAAAACAGCUCGCUGGGGGUGUGCUGACGCUGAGACACGAAAGCCAGGGGAGCGAACGGG